AGAUUGAACGCUGGCGGCAGGCCUAACACAUGCAAGUCGAGCGGUAGAGAGGUGCUUGCACCUCUUGAGAGCGGCGGACGGGUGAGUAAUGCCUAGGAAUCUGCCUAGUGGUGGGGGAUAACGUUCGGAAACGGACGCUAAUACCGCAUACGUCCUACGGGAGAAAGCGGGGGACCUUCGGGCCUCGCGCCAUCAGAUGAGCCUAGGUCGGAUUAGCUAGUUGUGAGGUAAUGGCUCACCAAGGCGACGAUCCGUAAC
rnacentral:rRNA from 1 species